UACGAAGGGGGCGAGCGUUGUUCGGAUUUACUGGGCGUAAAGGGCGCGCAGGCGGCCGCAUUUGUCAGGCGUGAAAGCCCCGGGCUUAACCUGGGAACUGCCUUCGAUACUGGCGAUCUUGAGUCCGGAAGAGGUGAGUGGAACUCCUAGUGUAGAGGUGGAAUUCGUAGAUAUUAGGAAGAACACCAGUGGCGAAGGCGGCUCACUGGUCCGGUACUGACGCUGAGGUGCGAAAGCGUGGGGAGCAAACAGGG
rnacentral:rRNA from 1 species